AGGAGGAGAACGUAGAAGGUGAGUAUUGGUUCUUGGAAGAGUAAUUUGUUGUAGAUUUUCUCUUGUUAAUAAGUGAUUCUUUCUUACAGAUUUUCCAGAGGCGAAGAGUUCCAGAGGAGGAGGUUUUCAAAGGCAGGUGGCAGUUCUUCAGGCAGAGUGGCUGUGAGGGUUCCGUGGUGAGGUUCUUUGUUUUCUGACCCAACUUGGAGUGAGGACUUCUCAGCAUGAGGUGUGGGUUCUGUGAUCUUGGUAAUCCACCUGUAAUAACCUGAGUAUUUAAGGAAAUACUUGUGUUUAUUAUUUGUUCAAAGAGUACACUGAAAAAAAAUACUUAAGUUUUGUUAAAGUAACUGGUAAACCACGGUAAUUAUUUUUCUCUUUACAAACCAGAGUUGUUGGGAAAAAAAUCUUAACCACUAACACCAGCGAGAGUCAUAUUUAACCUAGACACUGUUUUUUUAUACAUUGAAAUGUCUUUUUUACCACAUUUCUUAUCAAAGUGAAAUAGAGAGAGCUGACUGCUGAGUAAUCACUCCCUCAAUAUAGCGAGCCAGGUGGUAAAAGGGUUACACACCAUAAAGGUAAGAUGCAUCAGCGUGAAUCAACUGAAGGAGGAGGCUUAUAAAGCUGCAGCUUAUCAUUAAACAAAUCCCCAACAGGUGUGUGUAAUCAGGGUCAGAUCACCAAUCACCACACAGGAACACAGGUAGAACUGAUUCUUCACAGCUGGAACCAGUUUGGCUGAACUUCUCAGACACAAGCAAGCUUCACCUGCUCUCCUGCUGAGAGACAGCAGUCUGCAGCCGACUCCUGCAUCACUGACAUGUCCACGACAAACAUGUUCCAGCUCUAAUGACAGGGAAAAUAAAUCCACCUCAAAUGAUUUGGUGUUUCUAAAGAUCCAAAGUGAAGCUUCUGUGGUCCUGUGGUUUACAGCUGCAUCAGGACUCCUGAACAUCAUCUGAUGGUUCACACAUUUAUAAAUUAAAUGAAGCUGGCAGCAAGCUGUGAUCCUACAAUCAUCUGAAAACUGACGUGGUUCAGUUUGAGAUGACUGCUGACCUGCUGCAGUAAGAUCACUGGACAGAGUUCUGACCCAGAGCCGGAGCAGCAGAGAGGGGCUGAGCACAGGUCCACGUCUCCCUCUGAAGCAUCCAGCCUGUGAACAUCCAGGACCUGAUGAGACCAGGUCUGUGGGACCUGAGGAGAC